AAUCAAGGAGAACAACAAUUUUCUAAGUAAAAUGUACACAUUUAAUUCAUGUAAUUAAUGAACUGCGUGAGAAGAGUAACUCUUAUUAAUAUUUACUUGUAAUAGUUACAUUAUUUAUAGUCAUUGCACAUAAAUCUUACAAUAUUGACUAAAUCUGAA